GUGUGAUGCCCCAAAGUUUUGGGGCCUGUCACUCGCCAGGAUUGUGCGUGCCAACUAGGCCGCAACCUUGUCAGCUAUACAGGCGGCAUGUGCUGAGGGAAUAUGCUGAAGUCGAAGAUGAGGCAAAGGGGCAUAACAUGAGGCAACAAGCAUCUAUAUAUGUUGCAUGACAUGUCCUAAGAGUGCCAAUGUGAUUUGGAGAGGGCUUGGUGUGAGCCCAAGGGGGCGGAGGCAUGGUGAGGAUCGUGUGCGGUGUUCGAUGUCAGCGCCGUGCCAUUUUGAGCUACAAGUGGAAUCUAAGGAUUCCGGUUUAUAGAGUUGAUAUUGAUGGUACCUUAUGUAUGCUUACCAAAUUUGGGGUCAUUUGG
rnacentral:lncRNA from 1 species